GGGGUUGUGGUCAGUGGUAGAACGCUUGCCUCGCAUGUGAGACACUGGGUUCAAUUCUCAGCACCGCA
rnacentral:tRNA from 1 species